GUGCCAGCAGCCGCGGUAAUACAGAGGGUGCGAGCGUUAAUCGGAUUUACUGGGCGUAAAGCGUGCGUAGGCGGCUUUUUAAGUCGGAUGUGAAAUCCCCGAGCUUAACUUGGGAAUUGCAUUCGAUACUGGGAAGCUAGAGUAUGGGAGAGGAUGGUAGAAUUCCAGGUGUAGCGGUGAAAUGCGUAGAGAUCUGGAGGAAUACCGAUGGCGAAGGCAGCCAUCUGGCCUAAUACUGACGCUGAGGUACGAAAGCAUGGGGAGCAAACAGGAUUAGAUACCCUGGUAGUCC
rnacentral:rRNA from 1 species